UGGGGAAUAUUGGACAAUGGGCGAAAGCCUGAUCCAGCCAUGCCGCGUGUGUGAAGAAGGUCUUCGGAUUGUAAAGCACUUUAAGUUGGGAGGAAGGGUUGUAGAUUAAUACUCUGCAAUUUUGACGUUACCGACAGAAUAAGCACCGGCUAACUCUGUGCCAGCAGCCGCGGUAAUACAGAGGGUGCAAGCGUUAAUCGGAAUUACUGGGCGUAAAGCGCGCGUAGGUGGUUUGUUAAGUUGGAUGUGAAAUCCCCGGGCUCAACCUGGGAACUACAUUCAAAACUGACUGACUAGAGUAUGGUAGAGGGUGGUGGAAUUUCCUGUGUAGCGGUGAAAUGCGUAGAUAUAGGAAGGAACACCAGUGGCGAAGGCGACCACCUGGACUAAUACUGACACUGAGGUGCGAAAGCGUGGGGAGCAAACAGG
rnacentral:rRNA from 1 species